UGCAGUCGGACGAGAAAGCGGGCUUCGGCCCGUGAGUAAAGUGGCAGACGGGUGAGGAACACGUGGGCAAUCUGCCCGGAGGUGGGGGAUAACCCUUCGAAAGGAGGGCUAACACCGCAUAACAUCUCGUGGACUUCGGUCCUCGAGAUCAAAGCUUGCCUCUACGCGUAAGCAAGCGCCACCGGAGGGGCCCGCGCCCCAUUAGCUUGUUGGUGAGGUAAUGGCUCACCAAGGCAACGAUGGGUAGCCGACCUGAGAGGGUGAUCGGCCACACUGGAACUGAGACACGGUCCAGACUCCUACGGGAGGCAGCAGUGAGGAAUUUUGCGCAAUGGGCGAAAGCCUGACGCAGCGACGCCGCGUGGAGGACGAAGGUCUUCGGAUCGUAAACUCCUGUCAAGCGGGACGAACCCUGGAGGGAUGAAUAAGCCCACCAGCUGACGGUACCGCUGGAGGAAGCCCCGGCUAACUCCGUGCCAGCAGCCGCGGUAAUACGGAGGGGGCCAGCGUUGUUCGGAAUUAUUGGGCGUAAAGGGCGCGUAGGCGGCUCGGCAAGUCAGCUGUGAAAUCCCUCGGCUCAACCGAGGAACUGCGUCUGAUACUGCUGGGCUUGAGUCCCGGAGAGGGUAGCGGAAUUCCCAGUGUAGCGGUGAAAUGCGUAGAUAUUGGGAGGAA
rnacentral:rRNA from 1 species